CUAUGCGUUUGUAACAAACCAUAUAGCUAGCUAGCAUUAUUCAUUGUUAUUUAUCUCUGGUUUCCAUAACCUUGUCUCACUCAAAGUAAAGCAUGAGUUCAAAAAACAAGGUUUGUGUAAUGACGAGUAAGGCAAAGCCAUACCUAUUAAUGAUAGGCUUGCAAUUUGGUAUGGCAGGAAAUUACAUCUUCGGCAAAGACAUUCUGAAUCAUGGAAUGAACCGUUUUGUCUUCAUUGUCUAUCGUAAUGCCAUGGCUGCUGCUGCACUUGCCCCUUUCGCCUUCAUUUUUGAAAGGAAAAGCAGGCCCAAGAUGACACUUGCAAUCUUUCUUCGGAUUAUGGUCCUUGGAUUUCUUGAGCCAGUUUUCAAUCAAAGCUUCAAUUACUUAGGAAUGAAGUAUACUUCGGCUUCAUUCACUUCUGCAAUUAUGAAUGCUGUCCCAUCCAUUACCUUUCUUCUUGCACUUCUUACUCGGAUGGAGCAUGUAAAAUUAAAAGAGGUUAGAAGUCAAGCCAAAGUGAUUGGAACCUUGGUAACAUUUGGAGGUGCUGUGUUAAUGGGAAUUUACAAAGGUCCUGGAUUCAACCUUUUUCAUUCUAGAACACAACAACAUCAUGGUGGCGGUGGAGACCCUUCCUCAUCACACAACCACCACCAAAUCGCCGGAGCUCUUUACAUUUUCAUGGGUUGUGUCGCCUUAUCUUCUUUCUACAUAUUACAGUCGAUCACCCUGAAGAAGUACCCGGCGGAGCUCUCAUUGGCGACCUUAAUAUGUGUGGCGGGAACAGGGCAAGCUACGGUGGUGGCACUUGUAGCUGAGCAUCACUCUCAAGCUUGGGCUCUUGGUUGGGACUACAGGCUCUAUGCUCCUCUUUAUACGGGAUUGGUUAGCUCAGCAAUUGCAUACUAUGUUCAAGGAAUGGUUAUGAAAAUGAGAGGCCCUGUAUUUACAACAGCUUUCAAUCCUCUUUGUAUGAUUAUUGUUGCUGCUUUGGGUUCCCUCUUUUUAGGAGAAAGACUUUAUCUUGGAAGUAUUAUUGGAAGCAUCAUCAUCACAUUAGGACUUUACUCAGUUGUGUGGGGAAAAGCUAAGGAUCACAAACACCAAGAAGCUGAUGAGGACACAAAUAACUCAUUGCCAGUAACAACUACUCCUGCUGCAAAUGAUGAUUCUUCAACCACUAACAAACCAUCAAGUUAGCACAAAUUAGACGCGUCAUAAUCGUCUAUUGUUCUUGAUUCCAUGCCGAUCAGCUACAAUGUGAUACGUACUCUAGAGUAGAAGUAGUUAGUAGUUGAUCUCGAACCAGCUUUUGCGAUCUGAGCUUGCAGCGCUGUGAAUUGAUGAACAUCCAUGGAUCCAUGCUGUGAAUCAACAAUUUGCUUCAAGCGAAGGAAGAAAGUGAAGAGCAGAGAGAAUGUGAAAUGUUGAGAUUGAUAAAAUGAAGCAAAUUGCAGUUAGUUAGUGAUGGAGGACAAGUGUUUGAAGAAAUGACUGAAUGAAUUAAAAUAGAAGGUAAGAGAUAUUGAAAUGUUUUUGGGUUUUCUAUAAUUGAAAUAAAAGGAAAAGAAGAAACAAUUCACAAUGGUAAUAACAAUUGUUGUGGUGGAAGCUUAAUAAUAAUCCACGGAAGUCACAUGGAAGCAAGUGGCA